UACGGGGGGGGGCAAGCGUUGUUCGGAAUUACUGGGCGUAAAGGGCUCGUAGGUGGCCAACUAAGUCAGACGUGAAAUCCCUCGGCUUAACCGGGGAACUGCGUCUGAUACUGGAUGGCUUGAGAUUGGGAGAGGGAUGCGGAAUUCCAGGUGUAGCGGUGAAAUGCGUAGAUAUCUGGAGGAACACCGGUGGCGAAGGCGGCAUCCUGGACCAACACUGACGCUGAGGAGCGAAGGCCAGGGGAGCAAAGCGGG
rnacentral:rRNA from 1 species